rnacentral:rRNA from 1 species
AACGAACGCUGGCGGUAUGCUUUACACAUGCAAGUCGAACGAGAAAGUCUCUUCGGAGGCGAGUAAAGUGGCGCACGGGUGAGUAACACGUAGAUAACCUGCCUGACAGUCUGGGACAACCUUCCGAAAGGAGGGCUAAUACCGGAUAAUACAAGAGGUCUAGUGACCUUUUGUUGAAAGGUUUUUCGCUGACAGAUGGGUCUGCGCACCAUUAGCUAGUUGGUAGGGUAAAGGCCUACCAAGGCAACGAUGGUUAGCGGGUCUGAGAGGAUGAUCCGCCACACUGGAACUGAGACACGGUCCAGACUCCUACGGGAGGCAG